GGGGCGUGCUUAACACAUGCAAGUCGAACGGAAAGGCUCUGCUUUUGUGGGGUGCUCGAGUGGCGAACGGGUGAGUAACACGUGAGUAACCUGCCCUUGACUUUGGGAUAACUUCAGGAAACUGGGGCUAAUACCGGAUAGGAGCUCCUGCUGCAUGGUGGGGGUUGGAAAGUUUCGGCGGUUGGGGAUGGACUCGCGGCUUAUCAGCUUGUUGGUGGGGUAGUGGCUUACCAAGGCUUUGACGGGUAGCCGGCCUGAGAGGGUGACCGGCCACAUUGGGACUGAGAUACGGCCCAGACUCCUACGGGAGGCAGCAGUGGGGAAUAUUGCACAAUGGGCGGAAGCCUGAUGCAGCAACGCCGCGUGCGGGAUGACGGCCUUCGGGUUGUAAACCGCUUUCGCCUGUGACGAAGCGUGAGUGAUGGUAAUGGGUAAAGAAGCACCGGCUAACUACGUGCCAGCAGCCGCGGUGAUACGUAGGGUGCGAGCGUUGUCCGGAUUUAUUGGGCGUAAAGGGCUCGUAGGUGGUUGAUCGCGUCGGAAGUGUAAUCUUGGGGCUUAACCCUGAGCGUGCUUUCGAUACGGGUUGACUUGAGGAAGGUAGGGGAGAAUGGAAUUCCUGGUGGAGCGGUGGAAUGCGCAGAUAUCAGGAGGAACACCAGUGGCGAAGGCGGUUCUCUGGGCCUUUCCUGACGCUGAGGAGCGAAAGCGUGGGGAGCGAACAGGCUUAGAUACCCUGGUAGUCCACGCUGUAAACGGUGGGUACUAGGUGUGGGGUCCAUUCCACGGGUUCCGUGCCGUAGCUAACGCUUUAAGUACCCCGCCUGGGGAGUACGGCCGCAAGGCUAAAACUCAAAGGAAUUGACGGGGCCCCGCACAAGCGGCGGAGCAUGCGGAUUAAUUCGAUGCAACGCGUAGAACCUUACCUGGGUUUGACAUGGAUCGGGAGUGCUCAGAGAUGGGUGUGCCUCUUUUGGGGUCGGUUCACAGGUGGUGCAUGGCUGUCGUCAGCUCGUGUCGUGAGAUGUUGGGUUAAGUCCCGCAACGAGCGCAACCCUUGUUCACUGUUGCCAGCACGUUAUGGUGGGGACUCAGUGGAGACCGCCGGGGUCAACUCGGAGGAAGGUGGGGAUGACGUCAAGUCAUCAUGCCCCUUAUGUCCAGGGCUUCACGCAUGCUACAAUGGCUGGUACAGAGAGUGGCGAGCCUGUGAGGGUGAGCGAAUCUCGGAAAGCCGGUCUCAGUUCGGAUUGGGGUCUGCAACUCGACCUCAUGAAGUCGGAGUCGCUAGUAAUCGCAGAUCAGCAACGCUGCGGUGAAUACGUUCCCGGGGCUUGUACACACCGCCCGUCAAGUCAUGAAAGUUGGUAACACCCGAAGCCGGUGGCCUAACCGUUGUGGGGGAGCCGUCGAAGGUGGGACUGGUGAUUAG
rnacentral:rRNA from 1 species